GAUGAACGCUGGCGGCGUGCUUAACACAUGCAAGUCGAACGGGAAUUAUUUUCUUGCUCCUUCGGUCGACUUAAUUUAAUUCUAUAGGCGGACGGGUGCGUAACGCGUGGGUAACCUGCCUUAUACAGGGGGAUAACAGUCAGAAAUGGCUGCUAAUCCCGCAUAAGCGCACAGUGCUGCAUGGCCCAGAGCGAAUAACUCCGGUGAGAUAGGAUGGAGCCGCGUGGGAUUAGCUUGCUGGGAGGGGAACGGCCUACCAAGGCGACGAUACACAGCCGGCCAGUGAGAAGGAACGGACACACUUGGACUGGGACACAGUCCAGAAUCCUACGGGAUGCAGCAGAGGAGAAUACUGCAAAAUGGCGGGAGCGCAGAUGCAGCGACGCCGCGUGAAGGAAGAAGUAUCUGGGUAAGUGAACUUCGAUCAUAACGGAAUGUAUUGACGGUACCUGACUAAGAAGCCCCGGCUAACUACGUG
rnacentral:rRNA from 1 species